UGUAUGUAGCUCAGUGGUAGAGCGCUUGCCUGGCAUGUCUGAGGCACUGGGUUCGAUUCUCAGCACUACAU
rfam:Ictidomys tridecemlineatus contig031515, whole genome shotgun sequence.